GAUGAACGCUGGCGGCGUGCCUAAUACAUGCAAGUCGAGCGAACGGACGAGAAGCUUGCUUCUCUGAUGUUAGCGGCGGACGGGUGAGUAACACGUGGAUAACCUACCUAUAAGACUGGGAUAACUUCGGGAAACCGUAGCUAAUACCGGAUAAUAUUUUGAACCGCAUGGUUCAAAAGUGAAAGACGGUCUUGCUGUCACUUAUAGAUGGAUCCGCGCUGCAUUAGCUAGUUGGUAAGGUAACGGCUUACCAAGGCAACGAUGCAUAGCCGACCUGAGAGGGUGAUCGGCCACACUGGAACUGAGACACGGUCCAGACUCCUACGGGAGGCCGCAGUAGGGAAUCUUCCGCAAUGGGCGGAAGCCUGACGGAGCAACGCCGCGUGAGUGAUGAAGGUCUUCGGAUCGUAAAACUCUGUUAUUAGGGAAGAACAUAUGUGUAAGUAACUGUGCACAUCUUGACGGUACCUAAUCAGAAAGCCACGGCUAACUACGUG
rnacentral:rRNA from 1 species